rnacentral:lncRNA from 1 species
CAGAUGGUAAAGCUGAGGCUCAGAAGAGCAGGGGACUUGCCCAAGGUCUCAAAGCUAUGACUGGUAAUGGCAGCUCUACCAGCCAGGUUCCAGAGGGGGAGGUCCUGGAGCACAUCCCCCGGCUCACUCGUGAAGGACAUGUGGCCUAGGUGAGAACUAAAUCUUCACUGUCGUAGGCUAGUUCUGCUCGGAGCUGUUUCUUACUGUGGCACCAUCUAGCCUGUCCUCAGUGACACUCCAUGGUGUAGAAGUUUACGCUUGAUUUGUGACCCACGUGGGGGCCUGGAGAGAAACAGAGCAAGGUUUGCAGUUUUCAAAGACCACACUGGUCUAUCUCACUGCGGGCUUUAAACAUCAAUAAGUUUAAUGGUAGAAUUAGCCUUAAAUAUAUUCCUAGAAACUAAGGUUUUUUAAACUACAAUUCUAAUUUUUUUGGUAAAAGUUACUUUAACAGUAGUUGGAUGGUUAAUUUUGUCUGUCAACUUGACUGAGCUUAGGGACUCCCAGCUCGCUGGCAAAUAUCACGUCUGGGGGUGUCUCUGAGGGUGUUUCCCGAAGAGACUGGCAUUUGACUUUCCUCAGUAGACUGAGGAAAGAAGGUGCCCUCUCCCAGGUGCUUGAGGGCCUGACCAGGACAGAAAGGCAGAGGAACGGGGGGUUCACUCUCUGCUGGGGCUAGGGCAUCCAUCUUCUCCUGCCCGUGAACCCCAGUGCCCCUCAUUCUCAGGCCCUCGGACUCAGACUGACGGGCCCCCCUGGCUCCCUGGGUCUGCAGCGCGCAGACGGCAGGCGGUGGGGCUUCUCAGCCUCUCCAACCGUGUGAGUCAGCUCCUACCAUGAGCCUCACACAGCUCUCCAUCUAUCCUGCUGGUUCUGUUUCUCUGGAAAACCCCAACUAACACAGUAAGUCACAUAAAACCUUGGAGUAAUAAAAGAAGCAAAUUUAUUUUCCUUCCUACAUUUCUUAAAAAAGUUAACACUUGUAGCUGGGGAAGCCUUGGGCUGUCUCGGCCACACUGCCAGCCCACGGUUCUGGGUAGUUUUGUGCUCUCCUAAGUCUGAAGUAAAUCCACACACCAGCAGACCCCCUCUGGGCACCACGGUCCCAGAAGACGGGCAACCCGGUGAGGAAGGGAGCCGUGACAGCUGGAGGUGGGCUCUGCGAGGCAGGAGGCCACUGUCCUCCAUCUGAAACUGCUGCCCAGACACACAAAUCCGGCCUCCCAGCCCCAGAGGUUUGUUUUUUUCACUCAUAAUUUGGUCAUCUGUGCUAAAAUUGCAAAUAAUCACAAUGCCAUAAUAACCUUACGACUUGGUGCGUGGUGUGUUUAAGAGAAUGGAUACUUGGACCUGAAAAUGGAGUGUCUGGCUCAGGGGUCACCAACCUGCUGUAGCCAGCACCCAGAUCCAGCUCCCACCUCCUUUUGUCAAUAAAGCUUUAUUGGAACACAGCCACGCGCCUGCUUGCUGCUGUCCCGGCUGACUCGACAUCCCUCUG